CUGACCAGGGAUGGGAAUCGAACCCACAAUGUUCCGCUUACCGGGCAGAUGCCAUAUCCACUAGGCUACUUCA
rnacentral:tRNA from 1 species